CUACGUGCCAGCAGCCGCGGUAAUACGUAGGGGGCAAGCGUUAUCCGGAAUUACUGGGCGUAAAGGGUGCGUAGGCGGCUUAGUAAGUCAAGAUUUAAAGGCAGCAGCUCAACUGCUGUUCGGUCUUGAAACUAUUGAGCUUGAGUAUAGGAGAGGAAAGUGGAAUUCCCAGUGUAGCGGUGAAAUGCGUAGAUAUAUGGAGGAACACCGGUGGCGAAAGCGGCUCUCUGGCUUGUAACUGACGCUGAGGCUCGAAAGCGUGGGGAGCAAACAGGAUUAGAUACCCUGGUAGUCCACGCCGUAAACGAUGAGUGCUAGGUGUUAGACCCUUUCCGGGGUUUAGUGCCGCAGCUAACGCAUUAAGCACUCCGCCUGGGGAGUACGACCGCAAGGUUGAAACUCAAAGGAAUUGACGGGGGCCCGCACAAGCGGAGGAACAUGUGGUUUAAUUCGAUGAUACGCGAGGAACCUUACCCGGGCUUGAAC
rnacentral:rRNA from 1 species